UACGAAGGGGGCUAGCGUUGCUCGGAAUCACUGGGCGUAAAGCGCACGUAGACGGGUCUUUAAGUCAGGGGUGAAAUCCUGGAGCUCAACUCCAGAACUGCCUUUGAUACUGGGAGACUUGGAGUCCAGGAGAGGUGAGUGGAACUGCGAGUGUAGAGGUGAAAUUCGUAGAUAUUCGCAAGAACACCAGUGGCGAAGGCGGCUCACUGGCCCGGUACUGACGCUGAGGUGCGAAAGCGUGGGGAGCAAACAGGG
rnacentral:rRNA from 1 species